rnacentral:snRNA from 1 species
CUCUACAGAGAAGAUUAGCAUGGCCCUGUGCAAGGAUGACACACAAAUUCGUGAAGCGUUCUUUCUUUCU